GACGAACGCUGGCGGCGUGCUUAACACAUGCAAGUCGAGCGGGAAACUUCGGUUUCCAGCGGCGGACGGGUGAGUAACACGUGGGCAACCUGCCUCACAAUGAGGGAUAGCCCUCCGAAAGGAGGAUUAAUACCUCAUAACACAAGAGAAACGCAUGUUUUUCUUGUCAAAGAAUUUCGUUGUGAGAUGGGCCCGCGGCGCAUUAGCUUGUUGGUGAGGUAACGGCUCACCAAGGCUUCGAUGCGUAGCCGACCUGAGAGGGUGAUCGGCCACAUUGGAACUGAGACACGGUCCAGACUCCUACGGGAGGCAGCAGUGGGGAAUAUUGCACAAUGGAGGAAACUCUGAUGCAGCAACGCCGCGUGAGUGAUGAAGGUCUUCGGAUUGUAAAGCUCUGUCUUCUGGGACGAUAAUGACGGUACCAGAGGAGGAAGCCACGGCUAACUACGUGCCAGCCGCCGCCGUAA
rnacentral:rRNA from 1 species